CUUGCACUAAAAAAAUAGAGCCAACAUAAAAUGGCUGAUAAAUCAUUCUCACAAAAACUGAUAUAAAUAUACCCAACUUAACAUCAGGUAUCAACAGGUUUACUGCCUUAAAAUAAGUAAGAUUUGUUUCUCUUGUACUAGUUUUACUUUUUCCCUCAGCUAGAAUGGUAAGGUUUUUAGGGAAAAUAGUCAGGAGGAAUUGCUCUGCCCUAAGUCACAUUAAGAAAGGAUACAGUACAAAAUACAGUACGAUACAUUGUAAUAUGAUACAAUGUGAUUCUAUAUGAUACAAUACAAUGUAAUAUGAUACGAUACCAUACAAUACAAUAUGAUGCAAUGUGAUACUAUAUGAUACGAUAAGAUACGAUAUAAUACGAUACGAAACAAUACAAUACGAUACUAUAUGUUAUGAUACAACACAGUGCGGUACAUUAUGAUCAGUAUGAUAUGAUACGAUAUGAUACGAUGCUCAACUUUAUUUAUAUAGCACUUUACACAACAGAGUUGAUCCAAAGUGCUUUACAACAACACAGAGGAAAAAACAAAACAAAAGAAGAGAACAAACAGACGAUGAAGAAGAAGAGCAGACUGAGUGACAGUUAUAAUAAUAAUGAUAGCAAUAGAAAUAUAUUUUCAAUACCAUCACUAUAUCAUCAUCAUUCAUAAUAGUUAAAAUAUAUAACAGUAAUAAUAAUAACAAAAGCAGCAGCAAUAAUAAUAACAAUGAUAAAGACAACACAGAUCUACCGACCUACAGAGCUCACAGAGCCUACAUGGGAAAUGGCUGACAUAUAAAAGUUAGGGACAGUUAAAAGCUAGGGAGUAAAAGUGGGUUUUAAGUUGAGUCUUAAAAGUCUCAAUGGUGGGGGAGAAUCUGAUUGUGGGAGGGAGAGAAUUCCAGUUUUGGGGCCGCGAUAGAGAAAGCCCUGUCCCCAUAACACUUAGUCCUGGAUCGUGGGACUGACAGAAGUCUUUGGUCAGACGAUCUUAGCUCUCUCAUUGUGUGAUAUGGGGACAAGAGUUCUGUGACGUAAGAGGGGGCAAGACCAUUCAACACUUUGUAAACAAACAUCAGGGUUUUAAACUCGAUCCUGUAGCUAACAGGCAGCCAGUGGAGGGAAGCAAGAAUGGGAGUAAUGUGUUCCCACUUCUUAGUUCUGGUUAAAACUCUGGCUGCUGCAUACUGAAUUAGUUGGAGACGAGAUAAACAAGACUGAGUGAUACUAAAAUAUAAUGCAUUACAAUAGUUGAAGCGGGAGGAUAUGAAGGCAUGAAUGACUUUCUCCAGGUCAGAAGUGGUAAGAAAUGAUCUGAUUUUUGAGACAAUGCAGAGCUGCGUUAAGCUUGAUUUUACGAUCUGAUUUAUUUGUUUGUCAAACUUUAAUCCUGAGUCAAAGAUGACACCAAGAUUUUAAACAUGUGAUUUGACAGAGGGAGCCAAAGGGCCAAGAAGAGGGUCGAUAAUGUUGGUCAAAUGCUGUGGUCCAAAUAGAAUAACUUCUGUUUUGUUUUCAUUGAGCUGGAGAAAGUUUGCAGCCAUCCAGGAUUUGAUGUCAUGAAGACAGUUAUUAAGGUCACUUAGUUUGUAGUUGUAGUUAUUAGGCUCAAGGGGGAGGUAGAUCUGUGUGUCGUCUGCAUAACAUGUUAUGCUUUUUAAUAAUGUGACCAAGGGGAAGCAAAUAGAUGGAGAAGAGAAUUGGACCAAGUAUGGAACCUUGGGGGACCCCACAGGAGAUGGAGGCUGAGGAAGAAGAGUAGUUUCUAAUUGAGACACUGAAUGGUCUCUUGGAUAAAUAUGAUGAAAAUCAGUUUAAGGCAGAGCCAGAGACUCCUGCCCAUUGCUUUAAUCUGUGAAUAAGAAUUGAAUGAUCUACUGUGUCAAAGGCUGCAGUUAGAUCGAGGAGCAGGGGGAUGGAGCAGUUGCCUGAGUCGGCAGCUACAAGGAGGUUAUUUGUUAUUCUCAGUAAUGCAGACUCAGUACUGUGAAGAGCUCUGAAACCGGACUGGAACUUUUCAAAAAUGCAGUUUUGAGCCAGGUGGGACAGCAGUUGGUUAAAAACGACUUUUUCAAGUAUUUUGGAAAGAAAGGGUAGUUUGGAUAUGGGUCUGUAAUUGUUGAGGACUGAAGGAUCUAGAUUCUGUUUUUUUUAAAGUGGCUGGACAACUGCAUGUUUGAAAGAUUGGGGAACAUGACUGGUUUCCAGGGAGCUAUUGAUAAUUGAGAGAACACUAGAGCUAAUGGUGCCAAUGACUUCUUUGAAGAUAGAGUUUAGUUGGAAUAUUGUCGAGAGAACAGGUGGAGGUCUUCAUAGAAGAGAUAAUAUGAUGAAGUUCUGUUAAAGUGAUGGAGUUAAAAGAAUUGAGAACUGCAGUAUUUUCAGAGGAGAUGGAUGGGCUGUUUACAGAUGGAUUAAUACUAGCUCUGAUGUUAAUGACUUUGUCUCUAAAGAAUUUUAGGAACUCCUCACAUUUAGAGUCAGAUGCUUCAAGGCAGGAGGUGGGAGUGGAGGAAAUGACAGAGUUCAAAACACUAAAAAGUACCCUUGGAUUAUGACAGUUUUUUUCAAUGAUAUCAGAAAAAUAUUGAGCUCUGACAUUUUUGACAGCCAGCUCACAUUUAUCGAUACGAUACGAUAUGAUAUGAUAUGAUAUGAUACGAUAUGAUAUGAUAUGAUGUGAUAUGAUAUGAUAUGAUAUGAUAUGAUCUAAUUUCAUCAGAGCAAAGUUACUCUGGAGAAUUAGAAUACUGUACUCAAUACUCAAUCAUACUCAAUAAACUAUUAGCCCAAAUUGAUGUAUCCUUUUUUUUUUUUUUACAUUUUUCAGAUUUAUAUUUUGGUCUCUGUGUUUGUUAUCUGACGUGCCAGCUCUUAAAGAUUUUCUGUUUAAUUGGCAGCUGCAUUAGGAGAUCCCCCCAAAAUAGACCUUCACGUUAAGCAUUGUCAUUCCAGAUUUCACAGAUCCAAAAUCACUACAGUCUCAAUGACAGUGCUUUAAAACAGCAAUCCACAAAUCAAAGGCAGAGUCAUGGUAAUACCAUCAGAUAAGUAUUAUUUUUAUACCCUUCAACGGGUUUGACUAUAUGCUAUUAAUUGCAUAAAUUUGCACUGUUUAUAUAGUGAAACUCGUUAGACUAAUGUAUUUAUAACUUAAUGCAUUUAUCAGUAAGAAAUAAGGAUCUGUGAAUUUAGAAAGAGCUAAAAGGCCAUUAACUUGGUAAAAAAAAAAAAAAAAACACUGAGCUGUUUUAUUCCCAGUUUGUUCGCAGACAGCACAGUAACAGCUCUUAACCAUCAGCUGCUCAUUAUAUUCAUUACAACAGUAUAUCAGCCUAUUAUUCGGUGUAAAGGCUUAGAUAAUUAAACGAUAAGCAAAGGACAUAAAUGAAAGAAGCAAGGCGGACAUUUUGAAAGGGGUAAUUUACAACAAUAGAAAGACAUUUGGAUACAUUUCCAUCCCAUAAUUUUCUUUCAAAGACGCCUCUCGUGCUGCAGUCAAACCCGAUUUCCCCCCCAGGACGUGAUGAAAUAAAUUGAGUGUGAAGACAUAUCACAUUUGGUGAGAGCUGAAAGUGCACAGCUGACUGAGCUGAUACUGACUGACUCACCGCUCUGUGUCACUGAUAUUAUUACAGUCACACACACACACACACACACACACACACACACACACACACACACACACACACACACACACACACACACACACACACACACACACACACACACACACACACAAAUCAAAGGCAGGCACAGGGGGUGUGACAGGAGCCAACAGGUAUCACAUCUAAUGAACACAGAAGCAGAGGGGCAGGGUACAGGGUUUGAGUUGCUGACUCAUGAUUUACUGUAAUAAAAACUGCACAAAUGUCAAACCCUUACACUCUUGUUCAGCAUUAACAGUGUGUGGUUGUGUUCAUUGUUUAAAAGCUGUCCAUCUAAAUGCACUUUAAAGGAUGUUGACCAGAACCAACCUGGCUAAUGCAUCUUCACCCAACGAUAAUAGCUUUAGAGUUUCACUUUGGACUAAUAUGCAAACAAGUGAUAAUGUACAACAGUAGGUAAUUACAAGGCCUGGAUAUAAACCAUAGACUGUAUAUACUAUGGACAGCUUGGUUGCACCUUCCGCCAGUAUACUGAUUUGAAGCUGAAAAGCUCUUGGUAUUUUCGCGAUUUUUCUCCAUUUCCUGAAACCAACAUUUCGCAGUAGUGUUGUACAUAUUUGCUGUGAUGACGCUUGGCUCAAACAAUAUAUCCCCCCCCGGUGGCGAUUUUUUGUUUUGUUUUUUGUAGAGAAAGGUCCUUCCCUCCUUCGCCUCUGAUUGGCUAGAAGUGCUGGGCUCCGAUUGGUUAUUCCUAAUGGCUAUGAAACAUCAUCGUCUGUCGGGUUAGGGUUAGGGAUAGGUCUAGGAUGAGGGUUGGGGUUAGGGUUAGGAGAUUCAGAAGUGCGAUAAUGUUCUGUAAUGUUCUGUUCGAUGUACAGAGCCGACAACCCGCAUUUGGCUUGAGCGUGAGAUGAGGUUUCCAGCUUUUCUAGCCAAUCAGAGGUAAAGGAAGUGGGACUUUCCCCAACCAUCCUACAAAAAAAAAUAUCACCCCCUGGGUGAGCUAUGCAAUCUUAAUACGCCCAUAGGCUUUAUCAACUGUCAGUCAUAGAAAACAUGAACCCCCUAGUAACUUUUUAAAACGGAGCUGUACAGAAAAAAAGAGGACUUGAGCACAAACCAGUCUUACUGUAACUACAAGUCAACAUCACAAGCAGGGGGGAGAAAAAUUUAUGUUCUGUGUAAUAAAUUUCUAAAGUUUGUCCACAGCCCCAUAAGCUUUGCUGGUAAAGGCGGGAUUUAUGACCUAUACCCAGCCCAUCAACAGAGGGUGCAGUUCUCAGAGUGGCUUCACCCAGCAAGGAGGCAGAUGGCGUCCAUUCUAUAUACAGUCUAUGGUAAAAGCGUAUAAUUUCAUACCAGACAGUAUAUGAAUGAAGAAGAAAUAGCCUUUUUUUCAAUUAAAUUCUUUACAAUUGACUCUACAUCUUAUUUUUUUUUUGCAUGCCCAUUUAAUAAUCACUUUUUUCAAUCCAUUUAUUUGUAUAGCGCCAAUUUACAACAAGAUGCUCAACAAAAAAAGCAGGUCUUGACCAAACUCUAAUUACAAAGACCGCAAAGUCUGUAAACGUAAAGUAGGGAUCAGCCCUAUCUUGUGAGCUCAAGCCUACUCCCGUCCCAUCUUUAACCACAUGAGUGCAACACUCUUACAAUGAAGAGGAGAGGAGAAAGUUCCUUUAACAGGCAGAAACCAUGAGCAGAACUAGACUCAUGUAAGACAGUCAUCUACCACUACAACUGAACCAUAGAAUAUUGUAAAGUCUCCAGCAGAAGUUUGAGCUUUUUGAAGUUAGGUCCUGUAGUGAUGUUUUUUUAUUCAGACAAUGAAAACUUUUUACUAUAUUACUAAGAUUUUUUUUUUCAAAAUUCAUUUUUGAUUAAUUCAUUUCGACAGGAGUGUUUUUGUGUUUAUUCCUGGACUCUAGGAGGACUAGAAAAUGCAUUAGUAGAACCUCAUGGGGGUCUUGAAGGUGUUGCACACUUGGAUGGAUAAACUGGGCUUUUGACUGCAUGAACAAUCUUUUACCAUCAUUGAGUUCUGCCAAGCAUGAAGGUACACCACGUCCCCUGAUAUGGAUUAGCUCUGGCAACAGUCCUACCUCCUUCAGACCUGUAAAAAGGUUGUAUGGCAGUGUGCCAGUCUUCAAUCACAUGCGUGAAAGUAUAACAUUCAAGUCAAAAUCAAUGCAACUACAGUGAAAGGAACCAUACAAAAGGUGUCCCUCAGAAAUCCUUUGCAAAAACGAAAAAAGGAAACACAGGGUCGAAAUUUGACUAGUGUACAAAGAUGAUUACAGAAAAUACUUCUGUAUAUUUAUAGAGAACUAAGAGGAGGAUAGAGGGAAGUUAUCGAGUGCAAGCAUAUUACAAACAUGCAGUUUUCCAUGGCGAGGAACAGCGAGUAAUUACCUCCCACUGACAAUUUGUACAGAAGCUGUGCUCAGCAUUUUGUC